rnacentral:rRNA from 1 species
CACGCAGGCGGUUUGUUAAGUCAGAUGUGAAAUCCCCGGGCUCAACCUGGGAACUGCAUCUGAUACUGGCAAGCUUGAGUCUCGUAGAGGGGGGUAGAGUUCCAGGUGUAGCGGUGAAAUGCGUAGAGAUCUGGAGGAAUACCGGUGGCGAAGGCGGCCCCCUGGACGAAGACUGACGCUCAGGUGCGAAAGCGUGGGAGCAAACA